GACGAACGCUGGCGGCGUGCCUAACACAUGCAAGUUGAGCGACGAACCAGGGCUUGCCCUGGGGCAAAGCAGCGAACGGGUGAGUAACACGUGGGUAACGUGCCCCGAUAACCGGGACAACCCGAGGAAACUCGGGCUAAUACCGGAUGUGCCCACCGGACAUCAGUCCGGUGUGUAAAGGAAGCUUCGGCCUCCGUAUCGGGAGCGGCCCGCGGCCCAUUAGCUAGUUGGUGAGGUAACGGCUCACC
rnacentral:rRNA from 1 species